CCUACGGGGGGCUGCAGUGGGGAAUAUUGGACAAUGGGGGCAACCCUGAUCCAGCCAUGCCGCGUGUGUGAAGAAGGCCCUCGGGUUGUAAAGCACUUUCAGUGAGGAAGAACGCCUGGUGGUUAAUACCCAUCAGGAAAGACAUCACUCACAGAAGAAGCACCGGCUAACUCCGUGCCAGCAGCCGCGGUAAUACGGAGGGUGCGAGCGUUAAUCGGAAUUACUGGGCGUAAAGCGCGCGUAGGUGGCUUGAUAAGCCGGUUGUGAAAGCCCCGGGCUCAACCUGGAACGGCAUCCGGAACUGUCAAGCUAGAGUGCAGGAGAGGAAGGUAGAAUUCCCGGUGUAGCGGUGAAAUGCGUAGAGAUCGGGAGGAAUACCAGUGGCGAAGGCGGCCUUCUGGACUGACACUGACACUGAGGUGCGAAAGCGUGGGUAGCAAACAGGAUUAGAUACCCCUGUAGUC
rnacentral:rRNA from 1 species